AGCUCUUAUGUACAUUCACGUACAGUCCGUGGCAUUUCAUAGUAAGGUUGCGCUUUUAUUUUGGUGACUUCCUGUGUGAGCGGAAGUGAAGUUAAAAACGUUAGCUUUGUAUACAGAAAAGACGCAAAGUAAACAAAGCAACAAACACAACGGUGAAAAGUCAGAUAAAAACCUAAAGACGGCAACAGUCGACAGGGGAACAAGCUCUUACGUUGGUUCUAUGACACUGCAAGGAAAAGAUUAAAAGUCAUUUAAGAAUCAGUUCUGGCCUUCUCACUUCAACUGGAUGCUACACUUUUUUUAUGAUAAAAAUAAUCAAGUUUCAACAUUUGUGGCAAAGUAAUAAAUGAUCCACAGUUAAGAGUCACAACAGAAUCCAAAGAGGUCAGAGCAGAGAGAGUAAAUCCACGUCGUGUGCGGGAAAAUGCGCAAGAGGUUGGACAUGUAAACAAUCCACAGAGGGGAG